AAGACAUUAGUAAAAUGUAAAUUACACUACCUUGUCAAGGUAAAAUUGCAGGUUAAACCCCUGCAUGUCUUA
rnacentral:tRNA from 2 species